rnacentral:tRNA from 1 species
GGAAGCGUGGCAGAGUGGUUGAAUGCACCUGACUUGAAAUCAGGCAUUGGGGCAACCCAAUCCGGGGUUCGAAUCCCUGCGCUUCCGCCA